GAUGAACGCUAGCUACAGGCUUAACACAUGCAAGUCGAGGGGAAACGAUAGAGAAAGCUUGCUUUUUCUAGGCGUCGACCGGCGCACGGGUGAGUAACGCGUAUCCAACCUGCCCAUCACUUGGGGAUAACCUUGCGAAAGUAAGACUAAUACCCAAUGACGUCUCUAGAAGACAUCUGAAAGAGAUUAAAGAUUUAUCGGUGAUGGAUGGGGAUGCGUCUGAUUAGCUUGUUGGCGGGGUAACGGCCCACCAAGGCGACGAUCAGUAGGGGGUCUGAGGGGAAGGUCCCCCACAUUGGAACUGAGACACGGUCCAAAAUCCUACUGGAGGCAGCAGUGAGGAAUAUUGUUCAAUGGGCGAGAGCCUGAACCAGCCAAGUAGCGUGCAGGAUGACGGCCCUAUGGGUUGUAAACUGCUUUUAUAAGGGAAUAAAGUGAGUCUCGUGAGACUUUUUGCAUGUACCUUAUGGAUAAGGACCGGCCAAUUCCGUGCCAGCCGCCGCCGUAA
rnacentral:rRNA from 1 species